rnacentral:rRNA from 1 species
GACAGAGGGUGCAAACGUUGUUCGGAAUUACUGGGCGUAAAGAGCUCGUAGGCGGUUCGUCGCGUCGGCUGUGAAAUCCCGAGGCUCAACCUCGGGUCUGCAGUCGAUACGGGCGAACUGGAGUUCGGCAGGGGAGACUGGAAUUCCUGGUGUAGCGGUGAAAUGCGCAGAUAUCAGGAGGAACACCGGUGGCGAAGGCGGGUCUCUGGGCCGAUACUGACGCUGAGGAGCGAAAGCGUGGGGAGCGAACAGG